CAGCAGUAGCCGCGGUAAUACAGAGGAUGCAAGCGUUAUCCGGAAUUAUUGGGCGUAAAGGGCUCGCAGGCGGGUUCUUAAGUCUGAUGUGAAAGCCCCCGGCUCAACCGGGGAGGGUCAUUGGAAACUGGGAAACUUGAGUGCAGAAGAGGAGGGUGGAAUUCCACGUGUAGCGGUGAAAUGCGUAGAGAUGUGGAGGAACACCAGUGGCGAAGGCGACUCUCUGGUCUGUAACUGACGCUGAGGAGCGAAAGCGUGGGGAGCGAACAGGAUUAGAUACCCCCGUAGUCCCUGUCUCUUAUAC
rnacentral:rRNA from 1 species